rnacentral:lncRNA from 1 species
CAGCAUUGUUCGCGCCAGAGGUCGGCUUGGCCGCGGCCCGGCCGGCCGAUCGGCCCAAAACCUGCGCCCGGCCGCCCGGCCGCCGCGGCACGACACCAACCACGCCAGAGAAAGAGCAAAAAAAAGAGCAUGUCCAUAAAAAAAGCGACACAAGAGGAACAACAUAAUUCAAAAAAAAAAAGAAUCAUGCGGGCGGCGGACGCGCGCCGUGCGUGACGGCAUAACAGACACAGUCACCGUGGCCGUUGAUCCACGCUGCUACGGCGGCGUGCGGCGACAUGGGGCAGCCGCGCGCGUGCGCAUACGCGAGGCAGUCGAGGUGGCCGGCCGAAGCCGCCGACUGGCACGUCGUCUCGGUCCACGGACACCCGCUCUCGUAGAGGAGCACGAGGGCCUCUAGGCGCCCGGCAAAGGCCGCCACCUGCGUCGCCGUCUCGUCGAGGGGACAACCGUGGGUGAUCAGCCAUCGCAGCAUGUCCAUGUGCCCGCCAAAGGCUGCACACGCGACGUCGCGCGUGCCCUGCGGACAACCGUGUGCAUGCAACCACAUGGCCGUAUCGAGGUGACCUCCGAGGGCGGCUGCGGAAAAAACGCCGGCGUCCCACGGGCACCCAUUGUCGCGCAGCGUCUGGACGAGGUCGAGGCGGCCGUUCCCGGCAGCGGUGGCGCAAUGCGCUGCCGACCAGGGAGCCGCGCGCGCGCACAGCAGGGAGACACACGCGCUGUGGCCGCCGGCGGCCGCUGCAUCGCACAGGUCGGCAUCAAUCACGAGGCCGCGAUCUAGCAUGGCCCGCAACAGAUCGUCGUGGCCGCUCAGUGCCGCCUCCGUCGCAGUCUCGGGAAACCACGGGCACCCGGCAGAGACGAGGUACCUGGCGGCAUCGAUGUGGGCGCAUCGCACCGCAGUAGACACGACAUAGGGAUGCCAUUGGCAUCCGUGAUCGUGCAGCCAGUUCAAGACAUCGAUGCGGCCCGACCGGGCGGCCGAAACCAGGGCCCACCAGUCGUCGCCCCUGUCGGUCGUGCAUAGGUGCUCGUGCAAAUAGAUCAUGCAAUCGAGAUGCCCGCCGUGCGCGGCCGCACACAUGCUGUCCCAUUUGAACGUGAACCCUCGUCGAGAAAGCCACGCGAGCACAGUCACAUGGUUUGAUUGCGCGGCGCAAACGGCCAUGUCGCGAGGCCACGCCAGGCCGCGAUCGUACAUGUGGUCCAGGCACUGAACGUGGCCAGCGGUAGCCGCCGCGCGCAUGAGACACUUGUAAGAAAGCGCGCGGUGCGCAGACACGCCGGCAUGUUGUUCCAUCGCAUCGGAUGUGGCUGCACUCGCCUCUGUGGGGGUGUCCGAGGCGAGCGCCCGGUCGACACAAGACUCACGGCGGCCGAUGGCGGCGCCAUCGCGCGCAAUAGCACGCCAGUGGCUGCACACACGGCCGACGACGGCACCGAGCACUGCACAUGGCAGUUGUGCAAAUACGGCCGCCAGGAUUUCGUCGGGGAGCCGGUCUAUUUGACGGGGCGCGCAUCUCGGCUUUUUUGUUUCGGUGCCUUUUUUCCCUUGUUUGUUUCUUUUCAUCUCUGCCUCUAGGUCGGCCGCACACAGGUUCGCCUCCCCUUUGUGAUUGCUUGCAGUCGGCUCACAGGCAAAGGCGCUCGGUCCCUUGCGGCGUCCUUUGCUUCUGCACUAUUGUUUCUGUGCAUGAAAAAAACAUAAAACAAAA